rfam:Drosophila ananassae strain TSC#14024-0371.13 Ctg01_19391, whole genome shotgun sequence.
AGUUUACAGUAAAAUAAAUAUUUAAGUGGAGCCUGCGACUCUGCUACUGCCACUGCCACUGCCACUGCCACUGCCGCUCGGGGAGUCACUUGAGCGUUUGUUGGCACGUAAAAG